AAAACAAAAGAAUCAAAGCAAUUGUGUGUUGCAUUUUAUAAGGUUUUCAAUUUCUUUCCAUUUAUAGUUACUUUAACAAAUUCUGAAAAUUUCCUUUUUUGUAUUCGAUUUGAAUUUUUCCUCGUUUUUACGUUUGCUGUACACUCUCAUGGCUAUUUAUGAAAGGCUGUAACAUUCGAUUGAACAUUCUAUUAACUCUUUGCACCCGAACGGCACCCAAAAGCCAUCAUCCUCAUAUUCAUUGCUGCAACUCGAAUGGCGCCCGAGAAGCGUCAUUACUAUUUUUGAGAAUAUUUUACAUUAAAUUGUGCAUGCGUUGUAAAUUUUUUUUUUAUUUGAUAUAAUUGACACUUAGAUCAUUCAGUCUGAACACUAUAGCGUUUCGUAGCAAAAUCGUAGCAAAAUUUUUUUUGAUAUUCUGUUAAGCGAAAGCAUUGGCAAUUACUGACAGUUACUGGCAGGUCAUAAAAAUAGAAUCAAUGCACGAAAUUUGUAGCAGUGAAGAUGAGUUUGAGAUGAUGUUUAGAUCGAUUGAUAACAUUCCAAAUGAACAUAAAGAAGAUAGUGAUCAAGAUAAUAGCAGUGAAUAGAGUGUUGAAGUGUUUGGUAAAAGAAGGAAACAAAAAAUUUAGAAUAAUAGAAAGCGAAAGUGAAGAUUCUUCUUCUGAUUCAGGCGUUACAGAAGAGGAAGACAAUUUUGAAUGGGUAAAUAUCUGAUUGAAUGUACAGAAAUCAUACCGAAAAGAUUACAAUUUAGAAGUGGUAAUAACUCUAAAGGUCACCAAAUUAGUGCAAAUGUUACGGAACCAUUGCAUUUUUCUAAAUUAUUUUACAUCGACCAGCUAACUGAUGCAAUUGUGAUUUGAAACAAACAAACGAAUAUCCAAAUAAGAAAUUUUAAGAUAAGGAAUUAUCGAAAAAGUCUAUGCGGAUCAAUUGGAAAGAAAUAACAACACAAGAAUUCUGUGUAUUCAUAGCGGUCAUCUUUAAUAUGGAAACAAUGUCGCUUGCAAAUAUGCCACAAUAUUGGUCGACGGAUGAAAAUAGUCGAAUUCACUUUUUAAUCGAAUGUAUUUACAUGAGACAGGUUCACAAUCAAAUUUUUUGGAUGCUGCACUUGAAGACAAUUACGCAUGGUGCUGCAAAUGUAAAAAGCCAACAAAAUGGGGAAUAAGGAUUUAUUGUACUCGGCGAUUCAGACAUAGGAUAUAUUUGUGGCAUUCUUCCAUAUUAUGGUAGCAUCAAACCGAACAGUUGAUAAGACCCAACCUCCCGGUGACUACCAGAAUUCUGUAACACUUCUAUCAAAUGCUACUAAAUUCGGUUUUCUGGUGCACAAGGCCACCACAUGUUCACAGAUAAAUAUUUUGCGAGUAUUGUACUAGCCGAAGAAUUAGAUAAACUGGCAUAAUACAAAUCAACCGAAAAGAUAUCCCGUUUGCUAUAAAGAAACUAAAAUAUGAAAAAACAAAAAAAAACAGUAGUAUAUCGAAAACAUAACAAUUUGAUCUUGGCUUGGAAAGAUAAACGGGUUGUGACCAUGAUGUCGAAUUGGUGUGAUGCUGGCUUCACCACCAACUAAAAAGAUUUCAACGAGAUGGUCUCGAAAUUGCUGAUAAGAAACCAAACGUUAUUCUAAAAUAUAUUGAAUUUAUGGGCGGCAUUGAUGGGCGUGCUGAUCAAUAUACAUCUACGUACUGUUUUAUGCGGAAACCCUUAAAAUGGUGGCGAAAGUUAUUUUUUUGCGGAUUGAAAAUAUGCUCAGUUCCCUAUAUUUUAUAUAAAAUGACGAAGAAGCAGAGAAACGAGCGAUCAAUCAGUCAUUUAAAAUUUGUGAAAUAAAUAGUGAAUCAGCUAAAAGGAGGUUAUCGACAACACCCUUGGAGCUGGCCAUGUUUUCUACAUCUUCAACUACCGAUAACCGUAUCCGAUUAAAUUGUAAGCUACUAUUGUAAGUGAUUCAAAAAGGAGCAAAAAGAAAAAUUGUAGA